UUGACAUAUACAGGAAUGUUGUAGAGAUACAGCAGCCGCUUGCGGUCUGUAUACAGGUGCUGCAUGGCUGUCGUCAGCUCGUGCUGUGAAGUGUUGGGUUAAGUCCCGCAACGAGCGCAACCCUAUCAUCUGUUGCCAGCAUUUAAGGUGGGGACUCAGAUGAGACUGCCGGUGACAAACCGGAGGAAGGUGGGGACGACGUCAAGUCAUCAUGGCCCUUAUGUCCUGGGCUACACACGUGCUACAAUGGCCGGUACAGAGUGAAGCGAAACCGCGAGGUGAAGCAAAACGCAGAAAGCCGGUCUCAGUACGGAUUGGAGUCUGAAACUCGACUUCAUGAAGUUGGAAUCGCUAGUAAUCGCGCAUCAGCAUGGCGCGGUGAAUACGUUCCCGGGCCUU
rnacentral:rRNA from 1 species